CGACGGGUGAGUAACGCGUGAGUAACCUGCCUUACACAAGGGGAUAGCCGUUGGAAACGACGAAUAAUACCCUAUGACAUAAACUCUUCGCAUGAGGAGCUUAUCAAAGAUUUAUCGGUGUAAGAUGGACUCGCGUCUGAUUAGCUAGUUGGUGAGGUAACGGCCCACCAAGGCGACGAUCAGUAGCCGGCUUGAGAGAGUGUACGGCCACAUUGGGACUGAGACACGGCCCAGACUCCUACGGGAGGCAGCAGGU
rnacentral:rRNA from 1 species